rnacentral:rRNA from 1 species
UGGGGAAUUUUGGACGAAUUGGGCGAAAGCCUGAUCCAGCAAUGCCGCGUGUGUGAAGAAGGCCUUCGGGUUGUAAAGCACUUUUGUCCGGAAAGAAAUCCUUGGCUCUAAUACAGUCGGGGGAUGACGGUACCGGAAGAAUAAGCACCGGCUAACUACGUGCCAGCAGCCGCGGUAAUACGUAGGGUGCAAGCGUUAAUCGGAAUUACUGGGCGUAAAGCGUGCGCAGGCGGUUUGCUAAGACCGAUGUGAAAUCCCCGGCUCAACUGGAACUGCAUUGGUGACUGGCAGGCUAGAGUAUGGCAGAGGGGGGUAGAAUUCCACGUGUAGCAGUGAAAUGCGUAGAGAUGUGGAGGAAUACCGAUGGCGAAGGCAGCCCCCU